UGGGGAAUCUUGGACAAUGGGCGCAAGCCUGAUCCAGCCAUGCCGCGUGAGUGAAGAAGGCCUUCGGGUUGUAAAGCUCUUUUACCAGGGACGAUAAUGACGGUACCUGGAGAAUAAGCCCCGGCAAACUUCGUGCCAGCAGCCGCGGUAAUACGAAGGGGGCUAGCGUUGUUCGGAAUUACUGGGCGUAAAGCGCACGUAGGCGGAUUGUUAAGUCAGAGGUGAAAUCCCGGAGCUCAACUUCGGAACUGCCUUUGAUACUGGCAAUCUAGAGUCCGGAAGAGGUUAGUGGAAUUCCCAGUGUAGAGGUGAAAUUGGUAGAUAUUGGGAAGAACACCAGUGGCGAAGGCGGCUAACUGGUCCGGUACUGACGCUGAGGUGCGAAAGCGUGGGGAGCAAACAGGAUUAGAUACCCUUGUAGUCCCUGAGCGGGCUGGCAAGGCGCAU
rnacentral:rRNA from 1 species